rnacentral:lncRNA from 1 species
UUUUUUUUUUUUUUUUUUUUUUUUUAACUUUAAAAAUAGUUAUCUUGGGAGUUCCCAUUGUGGCACAGUGGUUGAUGAAUCCGACUAGGAGCCAUGAGGUUGCGGGUUCGAUCCCUGCCCUUGCUCAGUGGGUUGAGGAUCUGGCGUUGCUUGAGCUGUGGUAUAGGUCUCAGGCACGGCCCGGAUCCCGCGUUGCUGUGGCUCUGGUGUAAGCCGACGGCUACAGCUCCAAUUCGACCCCUAGCCUGGGAACCUCCAUAUGCCACAGGAGCGGCCCAAGAAAUGGCAAAAAGACAAAAAAAAAUAAUAAAAUAAAAUAAAAAUAGUUAUCUUUUAAGAAGAGUAUUAAAUUUCUAGAGCAAUUGAGUAGGUAACAUAGUUCCCACACACUCUCCUUCUCCAUACAGUUUCCCCUUAUUUUUUUAACAUCUUGCAUUAGUGGGAUAAGUAAUUAUAACUAAUAAUUGCAAUUAAUGAACCAAUAUUAAUACAUGAUUAUUAACUAAGCUCUGUAAUUUGCAUCAAGGUUUAUUUAUUUAUUUAUUUUGUCUUUUUAGGGCUGCACCCGAGGCAUACGGAGGUUCCCAGGCUGGGGGUUGAAUCAGAGCUUUAACCAUUGGCCUACAUCACAGCCAGAUCUGAGCCAUGUCUGCAACCUACGCCACCGCUCACAGCAACGCUGGAUCCUUAACCCACUGAGCAAGGCCAGGGAUCGAACCUGCGUCCUCGUGGAUGUUAGUCAGAUUCGUUCCCGCUGAGCCACAACAGGAAUUCCAAGGUUUACUCUUGCCAAUGUACAUGCUACAGGUUUUUUGACACAUGGCUAAUGUCACCUACCCACCAUUAUUGUGUCAUGCAGAACUGUUUUGUAAAAAUCCAUGUGAGGCACCUGUUCACUCCUCGUGCCUCCCCCCAAACCCCUGGCAAGCACUAUCUCUUUACCGUCUCUACAGUUUCGCCUUUUCCAGAAUGUCAUGUAGUUGGAAUCACACAGUAUAUAACCUUGCACCUUGGCUUCUUUGACUCAGCAACGUGCAUUUAAGUUUCCUCCACGUCUUUUUGUGUGGAUUGCUCUUUGCGUUUCAUUGCUGAAUAACACUCCAUGGUAUGUCCGUACCUGCUGUUUAUCCAUUCACUUAUUUGAGAACAGCUUGGUUGUUUUCAGUUUGGGGUAAUUACGGAUGAAUCUGUUAUAAACAUUCUUCUGCAAACUUUUGUAUGGACACGUUUUCAACUAUAGUGUGUAAAUACCAAGGAGAGUGAUUGCUGGAUUAUAUGAUAAGACUGUUUAGCUUUGUAAGAACCUGCCGAACCAUCUUCCAAAGUGACUGUAGCAUUUUGCAUUCCUGUCAGCAAUGUAAGAGAGUCCCUGCUGCUCCCUGGUGUCACCAGGUAUUGUCCAGUUUGGGGAUUUUAGCCAUUUAAGUAAGUGUAUAGGGGUAUCUCAUUAUUUAAUUUGCAAUUACCUAAUGCUGUGGGAUAUUGAGCAUCUUUUCAAAUGCUUAUUUGCCGACUGUAUGUCUUUUUUGGUGAGGUGUCCAUUUAUACUUUUUUUUUUUAAUUCAAUGAAUUUAUCACAUCUCUAGUUGUAUAAUGAUCAUCACAAUCCAUUUAUAUCUUUUGCCCCUUUUUCAACUGGGUUGUUUGUUUCUUACUGCUGAAUUUUUAGAGUUCAUUGCAUAUUUUUAUCAGAUAUGCAUUUGCAAAUGUUUUCUCCUAGACUGUGGCUCAUCUUUUCAUUUUCCUUACUGUGUCCUUUGCAGAGCAGAAGUUUCAACUUUUAAUAAAGUUUAACUUACCAAUUUUUUCUUUCAUGAACUGUGGUUUUCCUAUUGCUGAAAACAAAAAUACACUGUACUUUCAAUGCGUCACCAACCUUAAGGUUAUAUAAAUUGUCUGUCAUCUUCUAGAAGUUUCACAGUUUUGCAUUUUACAUUUAGGUUUAUGAUCCAUUUGGAGUUAAAUUUCACAAAAGACGUAAAGUCUGUGUUUAGACUCAUUCUUACCAUAGAUUUAGCAAGCGCAGCAUAUGAUUUUUUUCUUUAUUAAGUCCAGAACUUUCACCUUUUCACUUAAAGGGAGCAUUUUAUGGCUUCUGCUUGGCAUAUCAGAAUUACCAGCAUCACUCCUCUUGUGGCUACAUUAUUAAGUAAAAGGUCUGCUCGAGCAUAGGCUCUGUGUCACCAGUUCAGUCAAUCCGAUAAGCACCAUGGCUGCUAAAUGCCAGGCAAAUUUGUGGGGCAAAAGGACUCCUGGGUGGGACGGAGCAGGACUGUUGUAAGUUUCUUCACAUUACUCAGAAAGGCAUGCAAUUUAAAAUGUAUGAACUGUUUGCUGUUGGACUUCCCCAUUUAACAUUUGGAAAGUGAAACCCCAGAUAAAGGGGGAACCAGGGCAGGUAAGGUUUUUUUUCCUCCCUAUGGCUUUUUUCCAGGAUGUUCCUUCUGACUUUGGUUUUCUGCAGUUUGGAUAUAAUAUACCUAAGUGUGGUUUUUUGGGUGUUUGUCCUGCUUUGUAUACUCUGAGCCUCCUAGAUUUUUGGUUUGGUGCCUAUUAUUCAUUUUGGAAAAUUCUCACCCAUUAUUAUUUCAGGCUGGUUUUUUAAAAUCCUGCCUCUGCUGUGACGAGAGAAGUAAGCAAGCUACCUAAACUUCCUAAGCCUUAGUUUCCUUACCUGUGUACUGGUAACAGACACGUGUUACAGGAUCAGUGAGGCGGAGAUGAGGUCAAGCUUUGUACAGUUUUAUCACUGAGUGAUGGUGGGGGCUGGUGCUUAGUGUGAGCUAUGGCAUAAAGGGAACUGUCACGGAGCCGGCAGUGAGACGGACAUCAGGCCCACAGGCCAAAGUCCUUAGUUAGUCCUGAAGCCACUCAUAUGAUCAGGAAUUCACAGAAGGGGAACGAGGGGCAGGGCCCAAAGUGAGCCUCAGAAUUGACAGAACAUCCUGAGCUCCAGACAUCUUGGAAUUGUCCCCGUGAGUUACCAGGCCCACUAGUAAACCCCAUAUAUUUUCUCUAGCAUCAGUUAUGUGCUUGUGUCUCCAGAACAGUCUCACAAAAUAAAAGUUUUAUGAGGGCAAAAGUCAGGCCACCCCUCCCCAGACUCCGAGCUGGCUCAGUGAAGAUAGCAGCUCCACAUCCAGCAAUGUCCCAGUGUAGUCUAGCUUGGAGGUCCUGGGAGCCCUUCCCGAAGCUUCCAGCCUGGUGAACACCAACUCCUACCCCGCGAGGCUGAAGACUGCCACUCCAGGGGAAAGAGCUCUAGGCCUGUGCAAGCACAGAGCCGAAUGUUCUGGGAACACGGAAAGGAGAGGAAUUCAGUUUCAAUGGAGCCAAAGAAAAAGACAAAAUGCAAAUGUAAAGAUUUUUUAAAUGUUCAGCCCAAGAGCCAAGCUAACCUACCUUUGAUUUACCUGACUUAAAAACACGCACUCCAGAAAGCACUCAAAUAGGCUUCUGGCCAACAUGGAACAACGGAGACCAGAUUUAUUUGACAUCUGAAAUAAUGAAAACCAUGACACAAGCAUGACACACUAUUUGCCCAAGAGAAAUGAAAUCAUGUGCCCACACACAUUCUGGAUUACUAGCCUUAUUAGUAAUGGCCAAAGAAUGGAAACAACCCAAAUGUUCACCAGGAGAUGAAUGGGUCAACAAAUUGUGGUGCAUCCAUACAGUGGAAUACUAUACAGCAAUAAAAAAGGAACUUUCCAUUGAUCCAUGUGACAACAUGGACGAAUUUUAAAAUAUUCUCGUGGCGUGAAAGAGGCCAGACAAAAGUAGGGCUCUUUUAUACAUGAGUUAUUUUUUGUAUAUAAAAUACUUUAAAAUCAAAACUAAUCUAUAGAGACAGAAAGCAAAUCCAUGGUUGCUUGGGGGGUGCUGGUCAAGGUGGGGGUGGGCGAAUGAAAAGUGGGAUUAAAGGGGGUCAGGGGGAACUUCAGGGGGUCAGAGUAUGUUUAUCACCCUGGUUAUGGUGGCGGUUUCCUUGAUGAACCCAUACAUCAAAACUUAAGCCACUGUGCACUUGAGAUAUGCGCAGCUUACUGAAGGUCAACAGAGCUGUUGACAAAUCUUUUUCUAUUUCCACAUUACCUUCCACUGCUUCCCCCCUUUAAAAACGUUCAGUUUACUACAUUUAGAAUGGAUAAGCAAUGAGGUCCUGCUGUAAAGCACAGGGAACUAUAUCCAGUCUCUUGGGAUAGAACAUAAUGGAAGAUAAUAUGAGAAAAAGAAUGUGUCUAUGUCUGGGUCACAUUGCUGUACAGUUGAAAUCGGCACAACAUGGUAAAUCACCUCCACUUUAAUAAAACUAAAAAGAAUAAAAGACCAAAGAAAGAAUUGGAUUAAAACUAUUGUUUCAUAAAUAAAGAGAUGGAAAUAAGAAUAUUGAAGAAGAAUAUAUGUCUUCACAUACAUGACAAAACUUGAGAAACAUAAAACAUAAAACGUGAGCUCAGAGACGUAGACGUUGUCAUGUGCCUUUGAAAAGGGAAACGACUUCCUUUUCACUACUCGCCGAAUAUGUCACUUCUGGACACCCAAGGUGGCCGUUUUCCCACUCCAAGCAAUUUUGUGACAUCAGCUGGGCAUCCUACAGUUUAACUCAGUUCUGACACGAUCUACCUGCAGAUGCUACAGAUUAAGGGCUCAGCCCCACAAGACUGGCGUCCUUCCCCCAGCUGAGACACUAGUCUCAAAUUCAGGUUGUCACCUGGGCUUCUGACCAACUAGUUAGGAAUCAGAGGUUCUCAUGACCCCUCUUCAAAUUCAAUUCAUUUGUUAGGAUGACUUACAGAACUCAUGACAUGGUUUACUUCCUAGAUUCCUUGUUUAUUCUAAAAGCAUAUGUCCCAGGAACAAUCAGAUGGAAGAAUCGCACAGGACAUGGUGGGUGGGAAGGGGCAUGGGCUUCCUCUCCCUGUCUGGGGGCACCGCCCUCCCAGCACCUCCAGAUAUUCAGCACCCAGGAAGUUGAAAACCCCACAGUUCAGGAAUUUUUUAGGACCUUCAUUACUCGGGCAUCUCAUUACCAUCAACUCAGGGGUGCUUGAAAUUUGUUAUCAAUGACAAAAGGCACCCAUUUCACCUACAUUCCUAUUUCAGGAACCGGAAACAACAAUCAGGAUCACACAUAAGAUGCUCCUAUAGCUCUUUUACAGGGAAUUAUAGGAAGAGUUUUAGGUGUCAUGACUCAGCAACUGUGGACAAAGACCAAAACAUAUAUUUCACCAUAUCACAGCCCUCAUAUAUUUUUGGUGGGAGUCGCCAUAGGCUCAGCAUUCUGAGGGCAAUUUGCGAAUUCAUGUUUAUGGCCUUAAAAUGGGUCUAACAUGUGUCGAACAUGCCAUUUUAAGAAUUAGUUCUGAGGAUACCUCUUGUCUUAGGAUGUGGGAAAGACAUAGUUUGAAGGAUGUUAAUUCCAGCCCAGUUUAUAUUUGUGAACAAUUGCACGUAAUCUAUAUGGCGCGCAGUUGGAGCCUGGCUAAACAGUUAAUCAUAGAGUCACACAAAAAAUAGGUGCUCCAGAAACAGGUGCAAGACAUGGACUUGGGUCACAGUCUAUGAGAGGGAGCAGGAGGAAGCAGGAUUCCUCAAGAGCACAGUGAUGCAGGCCUGGCAAAGCCUUGACCAGCCCAAGGGGGCUCAGGCUGCAAUGGCCAGGCUUUUGGAACCGCCCCUCAGUCACUGGAUGCAGGCAAGAUGGGGGGGGGGGCGGCAGGAAUGGGAGGCGGGUCUGCUGGCCCCACUCAGCUGGGGCCGGCAAGACCUUCUUCCAGAGCCCAUCGCCCUGUCCACCACCAUCCUCAAGGCCUCCCCUUCUCUGCCCCUUCCUUCCUCUGCUCCCUCGUCUCCGUCUCUUGUCUCCACUGACUUUCAGAGUUAGUCUCUGUAUGCAGUGUUUAUUGUACAGUUAUUGUAGAACCCUCUGGAGGAAAAAGUGCUACUCAAAUUUAAUUAAUAGGAGAGACACUAAGUAAAAUGAGAUUCUGGAGAGAAUUCGGUGCAUGGGCACCAGAGCUACAUUCCUAGUAACUUAGUUUGCUCGGCUGGUGGGAGGAGAGGGAAGAGUUCCCGCCUCUCCCAGCAUCCACAGGAUGAGGCUUUGCAAACCACGAGCGGGGUUUUCCUCUGUGGGUUAGAAGUCAACGAACGGGCUUCCUGUGCUGUCACCCUCCUGUCUAGAUGCAGCUGGGGGCCAGGAUAUGAAUGUGUUUGUGUGUGUGUAUGUGUGCGUGUGUGUGUGGGGGGGGUGUUUAUUACCAGGAUGAGGACACGGGACAGCCUCUCUCUACUCUCCGUCUGGGGAGAGGUGGGUUGAGCAUCCAGGACCAGCCGCAGACAGAGCCCAUCCAGGAAGGAAGACCAUGAGUAUCGACCGAAACAUGGGCAUCGGGUCAGCGAGCCAGGGCUGGGCUGUGACAGAGGAGAAACCAUCAUUACGGAAGGAGACAGGCAGGUGGCCGUCUGUCUGAAUCUCCAUGUGAGUCUUAUCAUCAGGCAGUGAGUCAAAUGCAGAGCUGUGGUUUGACUUCUAAAAAACCAAAAGAUAUUAAUAAAACAAACAACUUUGUCAAAAACUAGAAAUCCUGCCAUGGCACAUAGCAGCACGGACGUGGGUCAAUGGUGUCUUUCAUGUCACCGGUGGGAGGGUAAACUGCUCAAGCAUUUGGGAAGCGAUCCGGCAUCCUCUGGCAGUGCUCAGCACCUGCCUUCUCUGUAUUUCAAACCAUCCACCCCAAGAAAAUGCCCCUGAGAAACGCUUGCACGAAUGCCCAGGAAAUAAGGUGGUAUG